rnacentral:rRNA from 1 species
CUACACAUGCAAGUCGUACGAGAAAUCUUCUGCUUGCAGAAGAUAGUAAAGUGGCGCACGGGUGAGUAACGCGUGGGUAAUCUACCUCCGAAUCGGGGAUAACCCGCUGAAAGGCGAGCUAAUACCGGAUAAUAUCUUUAAAACUUCGGUUUUUAAGAUCAAAGGUGGUCUCUACAUGUAAGCUACUGUUUGGAGAUGAGCCCGCGUACCAUUAGCUUGUUGGUAGGGUAAUGGCCUACCAAGGCCGCGAUGGUUAGCUGGUCUGAGAGGAUGAUCAGCCACACUGGAACUGACACACGGUCCAGACUCCUACGGGAGGCAGCAGUGAGGAAUUUUGCGCAAUGGGGGAAACCCUGACGCAGCAACGCCGCGUGAGUGAUGAAGGCUUUCGGGUCGUAAAGCUCUGUCAAGUGGGAAGAACCUGCUCGAUGAUAAUACCAUCUAGCACUGACGGUACCACUAAAGGAAGCACCGGCUAACUCCGUGCCAGCAGCCGCGGUAAUACGGAGGGGGUUAGCGUUGUUCGGAAUUACUGGGCGUAAAGCGUACGUAGGCGGAUUGGAAAGUAGAGGGUGAAAUCCCAGGGCUCAACCCUGGAACUGCCUUCUAAACUAUCAGUCUAGAGUUCGAGAGAGGUGAGUGGAAUUCCAAGUGUAGAGGUGAAAUUCGUAGAUAUUUGGAGGAACACCAGUGGCGAAGCGGCUCACUGGCUCGAUACUGACGCUGAGGUACGAAAGUGUGGGGAGCAAACAGGAUUAGAUACCCUGGUAGUCCACACCGCUACACAUGC